rnacentral:ncRNA from 2 species
AGGGUCCACCGUCGAGCCAGUCGCAUCCGGUAGCGGAUGCAGGGAAUCCGGUGUGACUCCGGAACUGACGCGCAGCGGUGAGGGCGACGGGCGAGGCGAAACGCCACUGGACCAGCGGAUCUGGGAAGGUGCCUCGUCCGGGUGACCCCGAGUCCGAAGACCUGCUGGCUCGCUGAGCCGAUC